ensembl:lncRNA
GUACCAGACUGAGCACAAAGCCCUCCUGUUUCCCAGGACACGCACAGCAUCACCGACCUUUAUCUGUCCAGGAAAGCUCAUGUGACUCGGUGUUAAGAUGAGGGUGACUGGUUGUCUGCAUGGGUUGCAGAGCCUGAGCCUAAAGGUGCCAAGGUCACAGGCAGCAUACACUCUUUCAUGUCUCUCUAGUCCCUUUACCCUGAUGGUUCAGCUGUCUCCUUAAGACCAUAGUCUGGCAUCUACCCCCAGAUAACUGAGUCUUUAUGAACACUGCAUGCCCUAUAAGAGAGAGAGUGGCUAGGCCAGAGGAACUCCAUGACCUACAUCACCUGUGCUGGGAAGGUAACUAAGACACACACAAGAGGAUGGGGCACACGUUGUCUUGUGAAGUCUUAGGAAGUGGGGGUUCUGACGUCACAGGUAGUAAGGUGGGCAGUAUCUAGAGGUUCAGGAAGAGGACCAUGUCCGAUGUGGGAAGGAAGGGACACAGCCGCUGUCCUCUUAAAUAGCUUCCUGAGAGUUAAAUAAGGACUCCUUUCAGCCUGUGGUCAAGCUUGAGACAGGUGAGAAGAAACGUAAACAAUGCCUUCCAUGGAGGCCCAAGAUGAGGCUCACUUCUGAAGCUGGAUUUUCCAGAACAGCCUCUACAGAUCUUAGAGCAUCCUGCCCACCCACGGAGAUGGGUUAUUGGUCCAGCAUCAGGCGUUGAGCGUUCGGCCAUCCCCAGAACCUUAGGGUGGGCCUGUCUCCCUCGCCAGUGGGAUGAAGAGGAGGACCCAUUCAAGAAAUUUUGGAAUUCAUACUAAAUCAUGGUCAAAAAUGAAACUAAGUUGCAACCAGACUGUGCCUAAUGCAGAACGUUUCCGAAGAGCUGUUUCCAGGUCUUUGACUGCGAGGCUCCUUUUGUAGGGUUAGUUUGUCAGGCGUCUAUCAUCAUAGCUGACAACUUGAUCCUCGUCAUCUUUCCCACACAGACCAUUAUUAUGCCUUCAGCAGUGACCAAGAGAAAAAUACUUUUAUACAGGAGGGACAAGUCAGAAAGAUUCAGGAUGUUGCAAUUCAGAAGGCUGAGCUCUGACCCUCAGCCCUUGAACUCACGGUUGAUGAGAAGCCAUGACUAAAAUUCUACAGCAGCACAUCAUAGACAUGAGCAAGACAAAGUUGGCCAACAGUUGCUCCUGAAGCAUCUGGUACAACCCCAGGUCAAGAGGAUGACAAAUAUGAUUACAAGUAUACUAAAGAAGAUGAUUUUUAUGACUUUAUCAUCACCAGAGGUGGACUGGAGUAAACAAGAAAACCAUCCAACAAAACCCAAGCAGGCAUCUGCAUAAUUCUGGACAAAUUGAAUAAUCCUUUUUCUUCCUCUGUAACAGUUACCUGUACUUGGUAUUUUAUUAUCCCAACUUGCUGGAGAGUGUCCUGGAUUUCCUGGGUUGCCAGAUCUAAACUCCGUUAAGGUCAUUCAUUUUCCAUAAGCCCUACCUCGGUAGGGAGUCUUAGUUCUAGUUCCCAAUAGGCGUAAUCCUCCUCAUCAGUGUUGUCUUAGGUCUUGUUACCCUCUGGUAGAUGGAUUUUCUCUAUGACUCCUGUGUUACACUAAAUACUGUAAGAAUUCAUUAUAAAUGCAGUCUGGUGGCAAUAACGAUCUUCCAGUUGCACAGUAGGAUUCAUGGUUCCUUCCCAACAAAAUCAUCCCUUCCCCAUAGACCAAAUAUUGUUCUGAAUAGAGGUCUUUAUUAUAGGCCAGUUAAAGCUAUUUCAGAGUUCCAUUGUUCUUCUGGGAAUAGCCAUAUUCCAUUAUGUUGUUUACAUUCUAGGACUGAAAUUGUUUCCCAUUGGGGUAAGGUUCUAUUUGAGGUAAAAAGGGCCCAGAGACCCCCUAUGGGGAGUAUCUGAUAGUUGUCAUAGUUAGUACCUAUUCCAACAAGCUGUACUACUUCAUGUUUCCUGUUUGGUUCUAGCCUGGGUGCUAAGGUG